rnacentral:rRNA from 1 species
UUGACCUCGGAUCAGGUAGGGAUACCCGCUGAACUUAAGCAUAUCAAUAAGCGGAGGAAAAGAAACCAACAGGGAUUGCCCUAGUAACGGCGAGUGAAGCGGCAUCAGCUCAAAUUUGAAAUCUGGCUCUUUCAGAGUCCGAGUUGUAAUUUGCAGAGGGCGCUUUGGUGUCGGCAGCGGUCCAAGUUCCUUGGAACAGGACGUCACAGAGGGUGAGAAUCCCGUACGUGGUCGCUGACCUACACCGUGUAAAGCCCCUUCGACGAGUCGAGUUGUUUGGGAAUGCAGCUCUAAAUGGGAGGUAAAUUUCUUCUAAAGCUAAAUACUGGCCAGAGACCGAUAGCGCACAAGUAGAGUGAUCGAAAGAUGAAAAGCACUUUGGAAAGAGGGUCAAACAGCACGUGAAAUUGUUGAAAGGGAAGCGCUUGCAGCCAGACUUGCUUGUAGUUGCUCAUCCGGGCUUUUGCCCGGUGCACUCUUCUGCGAGCAGGCCAGCAUCAGUUUGGACGGUUGGAUAAAGGCCUCUGUCACGUACCUUCUCUCGGGAAGGCCUUAUAGGGGAGGCGUCAUGCAACCAGUCUGGACUGAGGUCCGCGCAUCUGCUAGGAUGCUGGCGUAAUGGCUGUAAGCGGCCCGUCUUGAAACACGGACCAAGGAGUCUAACAUCUAUGCGAGUGUUUGGGUGUCAAGCCCGAGCGCGUAAUGAAAGUGAACGGAGGUGGGAUCCCGCAAGGGUGCACCAUCGACCGAUCCUGAUGUCUUCGGAUGGA